AUAGAAUGCUUUAUUUUGUUUCUUUUCCCUGAGUAGGCUAAAUAUGUCCUAGGUUUUAAAGCCACUUUUUGAAGAGAGACAUUUGCUGAGCUGCAUUUUUACAAUACACUCUAUUCCACGAGGCACAUGAUGGAGUUCAAGGAUUGCUCAUCAUUAUCCAGUUGGACACUAGGACAGGAAACUUCUGGAAAACAGUUUUACUCCAGGGCAUCUGCUCCUCCCAUCAACAUAUUACCUUCCUAAGCUCCUUAAGGAAAAUGACUAUAGAAAAUUGGAGGGGGUGUCCAGAAAAAGCACAGAGAUUUGGAAGUCUACACAGAAUUUCAAGUUCCUGUUCAAAGAUUACACUUAAACACACCUUGAUGGGCUUAGUCACUCAAAUGCUGAAAAAAUGGAAGCCCCGGAAAGAGAACGUUUUAUAAGGAGAAUCUCCCGGCAUGUCUUAAAACACAGAGACAAGUAAACGACACCUGAGUGUCAGGACUGCCAGGACUUUCCCGAGACAUAUCAAAGAAAUCAUAAACAUAAAUCACCCCAGGAAGACCAAGUGUGCAGAUGAAGAUAAUACCUUAGACAAGCAGUGUGCUUUGGUUCACAAAGGACUUUCAUUUUUACAAUCUUUUUUGAUCUACAAAACCUAAGCAGUAGUCAGGCCAUAUAUUAUUAUAAUUCCUACUUUACAGGUCACAAAAUGACCACCUAGGGAGGCAAAGUGACUUCUAAACUCACACAGCUAAUACGUGGUGAAUAGGAUAGGCUUUCCCUUCUUGGCUUCUUAUCCUGUGAUUUUUCUUCAAAAGAACUAGGAUUGGAGUGUGCUGGGGGAAACAGAGGGCAGAAGAAUGCAGCCAACAGCUCUGCCCUAGUAACCUGCUUUGCCAGCAUCAUCUUGGGGAACCUCAAGCACCUAUUAGACCCCUUCUGUUUGCACAAGCACACUAGCCCUACAUUCCCAUAGUGAGGCUUUCUGUUCUUCUCCAGAACUAUUCUCUAUUGUAGGGAAGGAUCACAGAUGCCCCCAGGGGCUACAGUUUUGCCUAGAAGUCUCAUCUUAGUCUCUCCUCUAUUGCAUCAUGACCACUGUUGAUGCAAAGCUACCUGGGGGGAUAACACAUAAUCCAUUGUGUAAUAACUUCUUAGGUCACCAAUCAUGUACCAGCGCAAGCUCUGUGCCAGGCCCUGUUAGGUGCCCACAGCAUGAGACUUAAUAAGCCAAGAGCUACAAGGAAGAAUGGAAAGGCAAAAACAAGUGAAUACAGGGUUGUGUAGAGAGAACAGUGGAGGGAGUGGCAAAGGAGAGCAUCUGAUCCCAAACACGUUAUCAACUUUCUAAGCAGGGAGUAGGAAGGCAAUAGUUUUAUGAUCAGGAUGGCCAACACUUCCAAGUUCCUAAGACAUCUCAGAAUGAGGAACAGAGCCGUUGUGUUGUGCUAAUGAGAAGGAAGCAGGUUCUGGAGUCUGGUAUACCUGUGUUCAAACUCUGCGAUGUACCCCUUGACCCACACUGAGGCUAGUGACAGUCCCUUAUUUUACUCACAUUUCCCACCAUGUAGAAAUGGGGCUGUGGUAGUGCCUAUAGCAUUGUACUGCUGUGUGCAUUAUAUAAUUGGGCUUCACUUAAUGAAGGGAUGUGGGAUGGUGAUUAAGAGCGCACACUGUUGGCAUUCUAAUCUUGGCAUUACCUCUAACUCUGCACCUUGGACAAGUAAAUUUAUUUGUACCUCAAUGGUCUCAUAUGUAAAAAUGAUGACAAUAGUACCUCCCCCAGAAGGUUGUUAUGAGGAUUAGAUGGUUUAAUGCAUGUAAAGUCCUCAGCACAGAGCCUGGCAUAUGGUAAACACCCAAUAAAUGCUAGCUGAUAUUAUGACGAACUGGCUUACUAUCUACUAGGCCAUAAAGCUCCCCAUCAUAGCACCAAAAAUCUUCAAGGAAACCUCUUUAGUCCCUUUUCAAAUUGUAUUUCGUGCUCCUUAUAUGCAAAUUGGGGCAUGACAGAGCCUAUGUUCACCUUUUUCUGGGUUGACUAGUCAACUAAAACAACGCUAGUUCUGAACUAUGGUCAGGAACUACAUAGUUCCUACAUCUCAUGGUCAGUAACGCAUAUCGAGAUCCAGGGUUUACCUCACCUCUUCAUUUCUACCCCCUUGUGGAUUCAACAUGAGGCUGUCUGAGUAGGCACAUUGAACCACAGUGGGCACUGGUCUCAUGAGAGAUUGCUGAGAGCCCCGCUGUCUUAGACAGUUACAGCUGCUAUAACAGAAUACUGUAGACUGGGCAGCUUAAACAACAACAAUUAUCUGGCAUCUUGAUCUUGGACUUCCCAGCCUCCAGAAUUGUUCUGGGAAGUCCAAGAUCAAGAUGCUAAUUUGGUCCCUGGAGAAGGCUCUCUUGCAGAUUGCUGCCUUCUUGCUGUAUCCUCACCUGACUGAGAGAAAGUUUUUCUUUAGUCUCUUCUUAUAAAGUCGCAAAUCCCAUUCAAGUGGUCAUGAGGGCUCCACCCUCAUGAGCUAAUUACUUCCUAAGGCCAAACCACCACAUUGGUGAUUAGGGCUUCAAUAUAUUAAUUAGGGCAAGGGGGUGAGACACAAAUAUUUAGUCCUUGGCGCAAGCUCACCAACAGCCAAAUGAUGUAUCACUGUCACCAUCCCCAACACUAUUGUCCCUAUAAUCACCAUAGGUCCAUGGUGUGAUGAAGAUAAACUUUAAGCAAACAAUGUUCUUGAAAAUAAGGACAGCGAUUUUUAGCAUUCUCAUAUGAGUUCAAAUUUAGUGUUUCUUGAAUUUUAAAUUUUGAUUUAUAAACAAAUUGCUUUACAAGGAGCCAACAGCUAGAGGCAACCAUCUCUGUCACACAUGGCAGUGAUCUAUAAAGACUGAGACUUCAACAUAAUUUAGUAUGUGUCUCAAAAAGAAAGCAAUUUAUCAUGAGCACAAAACAUUGACAACCCCACCAUAGCUUCCAAAAAGCAGGCAUGUAUGAGGCCCCCCAGGGCUGAGACUGUUUUGCGCUUGGUGUAGUAGAGACCUGGGGUCAAGGAACUGACAUAUGCAAUGAUCUAAAUUCCAGUAGAGUAAGCCAUUAUCUAACCUGAGUGCAUUCCCCUGGAAUACAGAGACUCCCUCUUUCCCUUCUUUAUAUUCCUAGUGUUUGGCUCAGAAUGAAUCCUCAUACAUGUUAGAUGAUAACAGAUAUUCCACGACUUCAAACAAGAAAGAUUUUAGAAUUAAUGUUUUCAUAUGGAGAAAUCUGAACUGGUGUUGGUGCAGCAUAAGCCAGGGAGGAACUAGUAUUCAUGUCUCUUUCUUUGCCACUAAAGGUAAGACUCAUUAGCCAAUGACUUCCUUUGAGAAUGAGUCCAACACAUACAUUCUACAUGAAGAACAUGCCAAACAUUUAUUUCCAGGACAACUAAGUACGUGUGUGUGUGUGUGUGUGUGUGUGUAAACAUUUAGUUUAUAAUGUCAUAUACCUGACAGGAAAUUAUGUAUGGGUUAAUACUGAUCAUGCUACAUUGAAGAGGCAUUUAUUGUUUCAAUUAUACAAUGGCAUUUUCAUCACUAGUUUUUACCAGGAAAUUCUAUAAACAGCUGCUUAACCUGUACAUGUUAUCAGAAUUGUCUAACAUUGUUAUAUUAGAAUUAGAAUUGUCUAAGUAUUGUUAUAGUUACUGCCCAGAGCCAAUAGCUCCUAUCAGGGAGACACGAUGCCUGUCUCCUUGGAGAGAAAAAGGAAAAGACUGUUUCCAGAUACUCAAGAGCCUUCCAGCACAUUCAUACUUCAUCUGAAGACUCUGAACUUUAUGAAAAUAAAGUUAUUUAUUC